GUUAAUAUUAGACUAACACCUGCCCCGUGGUACAUUUGAUUGAACUGUGUUGUGGGGGAGAUAACUGUCCUCCCUAAGUUCCCUGAGGACACAGCCAUGUCCUUCUUGUUCAGUUCCUGGUGGGUGCUGGGUGACAGCUCAUGGGAUGAGUGCCGUGAAGGCUGUGGUUGAUGGGCUGAUGAAGGGGUGGCCGUGCCGGGACCCACCUGUCCUCCCCUCCUUCUCCCUGUGCCAUGCAGAUGUGGUCAACGGGCUGAUGGGCACGGCUGUGGGACCCCAUCAUUCCCCUGCCCCGCAUGACUCUGCUCUCCCAGCUCGACUGCUCACUUCAGACUUCCCUUAUGGAAGGAGUUGCCAGAUAGAGCAAGUAAAAUACAGUGUGCCAGACACAGGUUUAUUUCAACACUGGGAAGGCUCCAUUCCUACUUAAACCCAGCAGGGAACAGGGAGCGGUGUGCAGAGGAGGUGGCCUGCCCGGGAAGCCGGCCUUGGUGCUGGGACUGCAGGGAGAGGGCUGUGAGGAAGAGCACAGGCUUCAUGCACAUUGCACAGAGGAGGAGAUUCAUGGGGACAGCAGGCACUGGUUAGGCACAGCGGGAAGGUUAUCGAAGACAAAACACAUUUCUACCCAAGUUUAAAUGACCUGCUAUGCCCACAGAGCUUGAUCCAGAAGUGCACAGGUAAGUAUUUAGCAGGCUGGCCGAUGUUGAUUUGAACAAUCUCAAGAAUGUGCUCUUUAGUGCAUUAAACAUAUGUGACGAGAGCUGAGCACGUUUAAAAUCUCAGUAACUUUGGGGUUUGUAAGUGUUGUAGCUCAUAGUGUCGGUUAAGGUUAGACAUCUCAGUCACAUGCUGUCUUGGCACCAGCUGUGGACUGUGCUGUGAAAGAGAUCUGUGACCUUGCACCCUGAGAUCUCAGGCUCAAUUAAGAGACAAAACAGGCAAUGCAGUAUCAGUGCAGAUGGGAAAGAGAAAGCAGAAAGUAUGAAGAGGGAAAGGAGGAGCACAAAGGAGUUAGCAUUAGUCUCUACUGAGCAAUUCCUAUUCCAACCACGUCCUAAAUGAUGAGUUGGAUCCUAGCAGAAAGGGAACACAUGUUAUUUUUAACUGAUUUUAACUUGAUUUAUUGUAACCUAUCAGGAGCUCUUAAUAAAUAUGGCUCUUUAUGUUGUUAGCAAGUGUGUUUGAUUUUUGCCACUCUAGGAGGUGAGCUCUGUCCAUGUUUUCAGAGUAGAAAGUGAUCUAUGAUACAAUGAACUGUUUUUAGCUUCAUGAGUUAGAAGUAGGAAGAGGAGAAUGUAUCAAUUUGUUAACUGCCUUUUCCUGUUCAAAAAAAAGCUUUUUCAGCAAAACAUAGUCCUUAAGUUUAAAAAGUCAGUGUUUAUUAUCUGACAGAUAUGUUUAAAUUAGUAAAGAAAACAUUACAUUUUCAUAAACAUUGAAUGAACAUUAUGUGAACAUUGAGUUUAACUUUUGGUUGUCUCUUGGGAAAUUUUUGUCAAUUUGAAAAAUGAUGAAAAGCAUCAAUAAAAGAUGCAAGCAAUUGUGUAAUCUCAAUGUGCUACCGAAGUGGCUCUCUGCUUGGGUAUGAGAAAAGCUAUCAAAGGAAAAUUUGAUUUAAGAAAGGAAAUCUAGGCCAGGAGCAGUGGUUCAGGCCUAUAAUUCCAGCAUUUGGAGAGGUUGUAGUGGGAGGAUUACUUUAAGCCAUAAGUUUGAGACCAGCCUAGGCAACAUAGUAAGACCUCAUCUCUAUAAAAAUAAAAUGGAAAGAAAGAAAUGGAA
rnacentral:lncRNA from 1 species